rnacentral:rRNA from 1 species
AAACCAGAUAUGACUUAGUGGCGGACGGGUGAGUAACGCGUGAGCAAUCUGUCUCAGACAGGGGGAUAACGCAGCGAAAGUUGCACUAAUACCGCAUAAGACCACAGAGCCACAUGGCAUAGGGGUCAAAGGAGCAAUCCGGUCUGAGGUGAGCUCGCGUCCCAUUAGGUAGUUGGUGAGGUAACGGCCCACCAUGGCGACGAUCGGUAGCCGGACUGAGAGGUUGAACGGCCACAUUGGGACUGAGACACGGCCCAGACUCC